GCCCGCCUAGCUCAAUCCGAUAGAGCGUCAGACUCUUAAUCUGAAGGCUGCGAGUUCGACCCUCGCGGUGGGCU
rnacentral:tRNA from 1 species